GCAAGUUGGGAUCAUAUUGAUAAUACUUUGUAGAAUUAAUUUUGUAAAAUCUCAUGGAAUUAAUUUUGUAAAAUCUCAAUUUUUAAGUAUGCUUAUUGCAUUUUUUCUCACCAUAUAGGUGAAAUAAAUUUGAAUGUAGAAAAAUAAAUUCUUAAUCAUAAACACUGUCUUAUGUACAUUCAUAUUGUACUUUUCCUUUUUUUUAGCACUUAGACAUUAAUAUUUUAGGUAUUGUUAUUUUUAUUGUUCUUUUGUUUUUUGCCUUCCAGACAAAUUAUGAAAACAGAAUAUAUAGCUUGAAAGUAGAAUGUGGACCUAAAUACCCAGAAGCUCCUCCGUCAGUUAGAUUUGUAACAAAAAUUAAUAUGAACGGAAUAAAUAAUUCCAGUGGGAUGGUAGAUGCCCGGAGCAUACCAGUGUUAGCAAAAUGGCAAAAUUCAUAUAGCAUUAAAGUUGUACUUCAAGAGCUAAGACGUCUAAUGAUGUCCAAAGAAAAUAUGAAGCUUCCACAGCCACCAGAAGGACAAACAUACAACAAUUAAUUUUAGUGGAUCUCAAACUUGUCUUAAAUCAACAACCUUCUACUCAUGUUAAUGUCUUGAUUAAAUAUCACAAUGCAAAAUACCCACACAUUAAGUAAAAGAAUUCCAGCUGGUAAACAUGACCUGGACAUUUGUAAGAAUAUAUUUAAUAUAUGUACACCCAUUAUGUUUUCAGGUAACAGGAGGAAAAAUGCAGCACAAUUUUUUUUCUCUUGAAAGCCACUGUCAUUUAAACAUAAACCUGGAGUACUCGAAAUAGAAUUCAGGUUUACAAGAUGAAAGCGUGUGGAGAAGUGUCAGAUGGCAGUGGAAGCAUGUGUGUUUCUAAAAAGUAAAAAUCUCAAGAAAGAAAACAGAAAUGGCAUGCUUUACCCAUCUUGCUUAGUGAAAGAGAGCUGCAGUUGAAAUUGUUUAAAAAGUAGCAGGUACAACGAAUAUUGUCACCGAUGUGUUAAUUUUUGAAGCAAUGUGGGUGCUGACUACUAGUAGUAUCAA
rnacentral:sRNA from 1 species